GACGAACGCUGGCGGCGUGCUUAACACAUGCAAGUCGAACGGUGAAGCGCCUUCCUUUUUGAUGGGUGUGGAUGAGUGGCGAACGGGUGAGUAACACGUGAGUAACCUGCCCCCUUCUUCUGGAUAACCGCAUGAAAGUGUGGCUAGUACGGGAUAUUCUGGGUCUGUCGCAUGAUGGGUCUGGGAAAGAUAUUGUUUCGGUGGGGGAUGGGCUCGCGGCCUAUCAGCUUGUUGGUGGGGUGAUGGCCUACCAAGGCGGUGACGGGUAGCCGGCCUGAGAGGGUGGACGGUCACACUGGGACUGAGACACGGCCCAGACUCCUACGGGAGGCAGCAGUGGGGAAUAUUGCACAAUGGGCGCAAGCCUGAUGCAGCGACGCCGCGUGAGGGAUGGAGGCCUUCGGGUUGUGAACCUCUUUCGCCAGUGAAGCAGGCCUGCCUCGUUUGUGGGUGGGUUGACGGUAGCUGGAUAAGAAGCGCCGGCUAACUACGUG
rnacentral:rRNA from 1 species